ACUCUGUUCCAAGAAUUCUACUCUUUUACAGAGCAUCUUUUUGAGUGUCUUGGUUUUAAUUGGAUUUGGAUCUCCACAUCGUUGGUGGAAGAAGGUUAUCAGAAUGGCUUCAAAAUUUGCGACCACGAAGGGACAAGGAAUUAAGGUGAUUGCUGGGAGCCUUGGGGAAUGCCAAAGCCUUGCACAUCAGAGAACACCAAGUGGCCGCUACAAUAAGUGUGCAGAGGUAGAGUUUGAAGCACUGAGGAGGGACAUGCAGUCUGACCGGGCACUUGGCAACCAAAAGGAAAGAGAAGAACAUUUCAUUGGUAUGGGGCAAACUGAGAAGAUUAAGGUAAGGCAGAGUUGAGUCAGAAUGAUUAAACCUCUAUAGGUGAGCGACUAUUGACCUAGUAAAAUCCAAAUUUACAAACUGUUGAAGUAGACCUUUUACCCUGCAAUUAGCACUGUUUGUUUUUCAGGAGGUCUCAGUGUUCAUCAUGGCCAUCCAGGUGUAUUGUAAAUAUAAUGCCAAUUACAUGUAUUAUUUACGGUCCAAAAUUUACUAUCACUCAAGUUAAGGAAAAUGGGGUGUGAAGUAAUUGUCUGCCUCAGAGUCCACCACCAAAAUGUGUAACAAGGUCCAAUUAGGGAAUUUCUUAUGAUUACUGUCUAUGAACAACCCAUGCAUGAAAAUUUGUAUGAAUAGUCUAAUACAGCUGUUUUAGCUUUUCAAUGGCUAUUUUUCUAUAAGAACAAAGGCUGUCAUGCUGUAUAUUAUUCAACUCAAGGUUGAACAGGCAUGAAAUCAUGAUGCCAGUCAUCUAAAGGCACUUUAUUAUCUAAGGAUAAACUGCAAAAAUAAAACAUUAAAACACAAUUAUUUAUCUGACCCCCUUUUAGCAAGAAAUUUGGAGAGGAGGAACUCCCUUUUUAACAGGACUAAAUGCCCAGUAGAAUUGGGCACAGGGGGGAGUGGUCAUCUGCUGUGACCAGCUGAGUAAGGAGAAGGAGACAGGACUAAAAAUAUGCUGUGUAGGAGAGCCAGAGAUUGAUAAUAACUAAUAACUAAUAAUAACUCAAAAGAGAGACCUAAAAACUGGAGGCCUGGCUUCCCAUUCUACUUUUAAAUAUUCUAGUAAGCUUAAAGUUCGAGAGCCAAGUGGGGAGAUAUAGUACUAUAGGAGCAGUAUGGUAAUUAAAAAAAAAACAAAAAACAGAUUUAACAAGGAGCCUAUGAAGAGAAAUCAAUAGGAGAAAUGUACUCUGUCAUUCUAGUCCCUUUCAGCAUUCAUGUUGCAACAUUUUGAUGUAGAUGGAUGCUUUUUAAGGAGUUACAAUGUCUACAACAUCCUGAUAAAAACAAAUUACAGUGGGACAGCCUAGAAGUAAUAAAUGCAUGAAUUUGUCUUCCACCAUCACUCUGGGACAGGACUUUAGAGAUCUUGCAGAAAUUGAAGAAAGCAGUCCUGAAAAAGCACAUAUUAGUGCAUAUUGGGAUUUAAAAAAUUACUCCAAGAAACCUCACAGUGUUAAUGGAGACCAAGGUAAUGCCAUUCAGAGCAUUCCUUUAGGUUGACUGACAGGUGUGUGUUGUCUGGCUUCAUGGAUGAAUGAGAGAGAGGGUGUCAUCAGCACGGCAGAGGUAUGUUGUGUCUUUUGUGGUGUUACCUGAAGGAGGCAUGUGUUAUGUAAAUAGAAAUAGAUCCUGGUGUGAAACCUUGUGAAGCUCAAUGGUUAGUCUUGUGUAUGUGGGAGGAUUCUUAGAAUAACAUGUUAUGGUCACAAGUGUCGAACAUAGAGAUCAAUCCACUCUCAGAGGCCUUAAGAAGAUCAUUUUUAACUUUCAUCAAAGCUGUCUCUAUACUGUGAUGUGCUCUGAAACCUGACUGAAACUCUUUAAAUAAGGCAUUCCUCUGUGGCUAUUUUACAGGAUCUCUUGUGGGGAUUUUUGACAUAAAGGAAAGUUGGAGGCCUAUAAUUGGCUAGGACAGUUAGGUCAAGUGAUGGUUUAACUACUGCCAAUAUGAAGAACUGUGUGGUUAAUAUUGCAUUGUCUAACUUAGCUUUGAAAAUUUCAAUUCUGCGGCUAUAGAGGUGUGGGAAGUUUGAUCAGCCAUAUAGCUAGCAACGGCAAGUCUAGGGCUAAAAGCGCUAAUGAUGAAUUGUGACCUGGCAGCCGGUAACAGAGUUAAUGUUUAUCCAAAUUCAGCAUAUAAAUGUGACAUGUGCUCAAUAGUGUUUAAGAACAAAGGAGAUCUUAGAGAAGCCAACAGAGCCCCAAUACUGUAUGAAGAAGCAGUAACUCAGCUACUAGUCGCCCUAAAGCUCCCUGGUGCUUUGGCUGUGAUUAGAUGUCUUGAUCACCAGAAAACAGACACAUUAAUACCUAAAUGAAGCAACAUGUUAGAGCUUUACUAUGCACUUCCUAAAUUGAUAGCUAGGUAAAGAUAAGUAAAGCUUUCUCUUUAUAACAGCAUUUGGGACAAACAUUUCAAGGUGCUUCACAAAAUAAAGCAAUGAAUUGGAAUUUGUUAAGGAAGAGGUUAACUAGGUACAAAUAUUAACUUUAGUACUAAGGUGCAUGUAGUUGGAAUUAACAAGACUAAAACAACUAACAUUGCAUGGCAUACUCACAAAUGUCCAUAGAUAAGUCCUCAUAAAGGGCCUGUAUUGGUAACUGUGAACACAACUAAUGCACUCUGCAAAGCUAUCUUUCUGCAGGAGAUGGCUUCUGGAUAGCAGAUGGAGAUGCAGAGGUCCUGGAGCAGGUGCUGGCAAUCUGAUGACGAGUGUGAGGGGACAACGGAGUGAAACAGGCUGCUCCAGAAAGCUGAGCCAUGACCCAUCCGGUAGCUGUUGAACCUGCUGCAGAGCCUACAGCCCAGGUGGAGUUGUACAGUGCCCAAACCAGCUUCUGAAUGAUGGAUGUGCAAGAUCAACUACUACCCAUCGCCGACCCUGACUUUAAUCAAGAGUAGGACCAAGUUGUCUCGAGUAUUCUUAGAAGCUAUGCAAGAUCCAGCAGUCAAGAAGUACCAUAAGAGACUUUUCUCGGACUCAUAAAUUAGUUGAAAUAUGGACUGAAAAAGGGACACAAGUUGAGUAAAGGUUGAAGCUGCUGCAGAGAAAUGUCAACCUUGAAGUUAUCAAAGGACAUUUCAAAGCCCACACUGAGAAGUCUGUUCAGAAAAAGAAGCUGCACCUGACCAAGAUGAAACCCAAAACUUAGAAUUAAUUGUUUAAUUGUGUUAUUUUUAAUGUCACUAAUGGUGUUAUGUAAUCCAUGUAUGUAUUAUGUGUCUCUGCUGAUGUGUUUUAUGCCUUACUUUCAUUUUCCUGUAAUUAGGCUGAUUUUUAAGUUUCUUGAGUAUUCUGUUUAGGAUACUGUGUAGUAUGAUUUGCAAAUGAAGAUGAAUCAAUUUGUCUUAAAUUAAUUGACUAAGAGAAAUGGAAUCUUGGGAGAAUGUUAUGUUGAUAACUGUGAGGUUUUCGGUGGAAGGAAGGGCUUAUUCAUUUGCGCAAUAACUGUGUGGGCUCUUUAUACAAAUUCUUAUGUUCUAUUUACAGCUUGCUUUAAAAUAUGUUAGCAAAAAAACAGCGCACGCAUUAGUUUUCACAAUUUUUGUUCUUCUUUAGUUAUGGGGUCUUUUUAGGUGGUACCUCCAAGUACCACAGGGGGGAAUGUGGUGGAUUUUUGUGUGAUAUGUAUAACUAUGUAACUAUAUACACUAUAUAUCUAUGCGCACUGAACAUAUAUAUUUUAACUUUCAUGUGGAGUCUUAAACACAAGACAUUUUUGCUUCACCGAGGUUCAUUAAGUUGGUACUGUAACAGGGCAGUUAAUGUAAGGGGAGAGUUCUCUUGAAUAAUUUACUUAAUAAUUAAUUAA